CGUCGCCCGGCCCAGGUCCCCCAGCCUGGAGGCGGGACGGAGGGGAGCUUGGGACCGCCCCCGCCUACAGGGCCAGGCUGGGGACCGCCCCGCUGGCCUCCCUGGGACCCCAUGCUGAGUCCUCCCCGGGGGAAGACCCUCCUGGCAGCGUCUUGCCGGGCUUUCUCCGCCAACAGGAGAUCCCCGGGUACUGCCGUCCACCCCUGACGGCGCCUGCACUGACCCCGACCCUCACACACCACGUGGGACGCCACCAGUCAUCCCACACUGAGGGACCCACGGGAAAGAACUGAACACGCCAGAGAGACACAGCUCCGAUGGAGGCUGCGCAGAGUUGAAGACGGACGGCCAUGGCCACGGCACCCGAGAUUCAGCUGAAGGAGGGGCUGUUUGAGCUGAGGCCUGUUGGUCCGCGUGGAGGGAACACUGGUGGCUUUCUCAUAGUUCUGGCGAUCAGAAGUCUCCAGCGGGUCUCACUGGGGAAGUGGAGGGGUCAGCCAGGCUGCCUUCCUUUCUGAGGUUCUGGGGAGAACCCAUUUCCUUGGUUUUUCUAGUCUCUAGACCUGGAGGAGCCCCUAGCAUACAGUAGGCACUCUGCAGAGGCGCACAGAGUUGACGGUUGCAUGUAGGAAUGGACAAUGCCCUCCCGGGGUGGGGUCUGGCUGCUCAGUUCCCUAGCAGCUGCCCACUGGGCCCUGGCUCACAGAAGCUGCAGCAUCCCAGGCCCAGCCAGGGAGGCUCGGUUUUGAGCCUCUGGGGAGCUCCCUCUGGAAAGAGAAACUUUAUAUUUAAGAAAGAAAACUGUGAGAAUUUGAGCGGAGGCUUCCCAGCCACCUUGUCUGAGUGGGAACCCUGCAUGGAGGAAACAGAACAAGACUUCUGAGCCCAUUUGAGUCUGGACACCUCCAUGCCUUAACACCUGGGAUCCAAUGCAUUUCUUUUUUGCUUAAGUCACUUUGAGUUGAGUCUCUGGGGCUCACUGCUCUGAGCAUCUUCACUCCAGGGCGAGAGACAUGUCAGACAGAGGAGCCUUAGACACACCAGAGGCCCCUGCAGACCUUGGGAAAUAGGUAAAUAUUGUUAUGUGUCCCUGAUGGUUGUUGUUUAUUAUGUGGCUAUUUUUUAACCAGAGCUGACUACUACAAAUAGAGGGAGACAAAUGGAAGCUGUCUGGCACAUCAUCACCUCUUUCCAAUGACCCCUUCAGGUUCCCAGGCUCUGCCACUUCUGGGAAGUGCUUGGGACACACGGGAACCUUUGCUGAGGUUGCCUGCGUCCAGUGCCCCUAGUUUGAUACAGACACAAAUGGCUUCUGAGUUGUAUCCAGUUUGUAAGAUAAUUUUGCCAACCUUCUUGUUUUUUUAGAAAAAUAUCAUAUUACUUGCCUUCAUUAAAAAAAAAAAUCAGGAAAGCUCACUUUCCCACGUUAGCCCUGGCCCCACAUCCCUACCUGGCCAUGCCCUGCUGGGCUGUGUCCCCGAGUCCCGUGAGGCUCACCAGUGAUUGCCAAACUUUUUCGGCUGAGGUCUAGAUAGCAGCCAUUUCAGGCUUUGCUGACCAUACCAUCCUCCCUGGGACAACUGCCCAACCCCACUGUCUAGGCAGAAGCAACUGGUGGACAAAAUGUAACUAAAUGGGUGUGAUUGGGGUCCCAUAAAACUUUCUGGACAGAACAGGCAGCCAUCUGUAGCUUGCUGACUGUGCGGGCUCCAUAUUCUUCAGUGUGCCACAGUCCCCGCCGCCCCACUUUGCCUUAUGCCCACUCACUGCAUUUACAACGCCUGUGUGAGCUCCCAGAUUCGGGAUCCACAGCCCCAGUGCAUGUUCUUGGUAAGAGUACAUGUUGGGGGCAAAACCCAGGAAGUCUGGCAAGCUGACUGCCUGGGUGGACGAGAGGAGGACUCAAAUCCUCCAAUGAUUAUUACAAAGCGACACUGCGGUCUAGGCAUCAUUCCAGAUGUCUAUCCUGAACCAGAGUGCUGGGGCUACUGGAGAAAAUAAAGGGAGUUUUAAAAACCUUCCACAAACAGAGGCUCAUUUUAGCAAGAAAAACACAAUAAACAAGAAAGAUAUAUAGUGUGUUAGAUAAUGGUUAAGUGCUUUAUCUUGAUGUGAUGAUAAUGGCUUCACAAGUGUAUACGUAGGUGAAAAUCUGCCAAAUCCUUCAAAUAUGUACAGUUUAUUGUAGGUCAAUUAUAUUUUAAUAAAGACUUUUUAAAACAGACAGCUCCUAGCUGUCUGUUCUGUGUUC